UCUGGAUCAUCUGGGAGGAAAAAGAAUUUAGUACGUACCCACGGAAGAUGGUAUGUCUUUCCACACAUCAAGGAUCUUCUUGAAGAGUUGUUCAUUUGCUUCCUCGGAGGCAGCUUCAGCAUUGAAGGAGAGCAUCACGCCAAUUCCCAAGCAAUCAGACCUCAGCAGACAGCUGGAAACCUGCCAGAGAAGGAGGCCUUGGAAACAAGUUGGAAGACAUUGGAGAGACUUUAACCAAAACAAACAACAGCAGGGGAUGUGGUUGGCAGUACCAAAAAAGCAAGGGACUCUGUGAGUCACUCUCACAUUAACUUUGAAUGGUAUCAUAUUUCCAUUUUGUUGUAUAGGUUAGUUGUUUAACAGCU
rnacentral:lncRNA from 1 species